CAUGCAGUCGAGGGGCAGCAUGGUCUUAGCUUGCUAAGGCCGAUGGCGACCGGCGCACGGGUGAGUAACGCGUAUCCAACCUGCCUUACACUCUUGGACAGCCUUCUGAAAGGGAGAUUAAUACAAGAUGUUAUCAUGAGUAAGCAUUUUCGCAUGAUUAAAGGUUUACCGGUGUAAGAUGGGGAUGCGUUCCAUUAGAUAGUAGGCGGGGUAACGGCCCACCUAGUCUUCGAUGGAUAGGGGUUCUGAGAGGAAGGUCCCCCACAUUGGAACUGAGACACGGUCCAAACUCCUACGGGAGGCAGCAGUGAGGAAUAUUGGUCAAUGGACGAGAGUCUGAACCAGCCAAGUAGCGUGAAGGAUGAAGGUUCUAUGGAUUGUAAACUUCUUUUAUACGGGAAUAAACGAAUCCACGCGUGGAUUUUUGCAUGUACCGUAUGAAUAAGGAUCGGCUAACUCCGUGCCAGCAGCCGCGGUAAUACGGAGGAUCCGAGCGUUAUCCGGAUUUAUUGGGUUUAAAGGGAGCGUAGAUGGGUUGUUAAGUCAGUUGUGAAAGUUUGCGGCUCAACCGUAAAAUUGCAAUUGAUACUGGCAGUCUUGAGUACAGUUGAGGUAGGCGGAAUUCGUGGUGUAGCGGUGAAAUGCUUAGAUAUCACGAAGAACUCCGAUUGCGAAGGCAGCUUACUAACCUGUAACUGACAUUGAUGCUCGAAAGUGUGGGUAUCAAACAGGAUUAGAUACCCUGGUAGUCCACACGGUAAACGAUGAAUACUCGCUGUAGGCGAUAUACGGUCUGCGGCCAAGCGAAAGCAUUAAGUAUUCCACCUGGGGAGUACGCCGGCAACGGUGAAACUCAAAGGAAUUGACGGGGGCCCGCACAAGCGGAGGAACAUGU
rnacentral:rRNA from 1 species